rnacentral:misc_RNA from 1 species
UCGACAAUUAUGUCUGGGUAAUGUGGCUUCGGUUGAAAUCUGGUAGAACCGAGAACAUUAUUUAAUUUGACAGCCUUGCAGUUGUGCAAACCAGCGCAGCAAAGGAUGGAUACCAAUCUCCUAGGGCAGGCUGUGCAAUACCAUGGGCCAGACCUAGUCCGAUAUCUGCAUGUGGAAGACCAGCGAAUACCACAGACAGUGAUUGAUUACCUGUCUAAAUAUAGACCCCACCCUCUAGAGAUCCCAGAGGAUGACUUCCAGCAGAAACUACGUCGGUUCGUUGCUCGGAAGUCUGACCUGUUGUUCUCUCCCAACGACCCCAAAGAGGACGAAGCUCGGACGGAUGACAAUAAGGUGGACGAGGACGAUAAAUUUGCCAAGAUGCCACCCCUGGAAUCUUUCAUGGGCAUUUCACCAAAUUAUUGUAGGGAGCACUUCUUCAAUAGUCUAGAGAAGCGUGACUUGGUGGUGGGUGUGGUAUCGUCAGUGAUGGACAGUGGUGUUGUGGUCACUUUGUUGUGUAUGGACGGUGGAAAGGUCCGAGAUAUUGACGAGCUGAAGACUACGGCCUUCUGUCCUGUGAAGGAGUUACCUAGGCUGUUUGCUAACCAGAGUCCGCUUGAAGGAUUUCAGGUCAAAGACAAGGUCAGAGGUGUUGUGCUGAACGUAAACCAGGAAACGGAGAGGAUCAUCAUCUCCAUGGUGGAGCGGGCACUUUCAGAGGAACAGUCCAACAUCAAGUUGGGUUUGAUCAAUGAAGACGACUUUCCAGUUCAUUAUAGACGGAAGUUACACAUACGUGGACUGGCUUUUGAUGAGCUGCUACACUCCAUUCUCGGCUUCAACAAUUCCGGCAAUGUGUCGAGUCUGUUAGGGCUAUUACAUCUGUCCGACUCCACUUCCAUCAUGCGUGGGCUUCACAGGAAAACAAUACCAGAAAAGGAGUAUGCUGAAAGUUUGAGGAAAUAUCAGUCUCAAAAGUGGGCACAUCAAAGUGUUGCUAAUGGUGUGUCCAUGUUCAAGGCUGGCAAGCAGGUGGAAGCUAUGCAGUACCUCAACAAGGCUCUUCAGAUAGACAGUAAAAAUGUGGAGGCACUGGUUGCUCGUGGGGCGCUGUAUGCCAACAAUGAAAGUUACAACCUAGCCAUCGAGGACUUUGAGCUGGCUUUGAAAUUUAAUAACCAGCAUCAGAACGCGAGGAAAUACCUGUAUGAAACUCUGCUGGCCUUCGCCAAGGUGUUAGAAGACCAGACUGACUUUGAGAAUGCUGAGAAACAGUACAGAAAAGCCAUAUUGUUACAACCCAGCUCUGUGGAGGUUCGAGAACUUAUCCGCUACAUGAUAGUUAGAAAGGAGAGGAAAGAACGUGAGAGAGCACUGCGAGGACGAUCCCCAUCACCAGUCAUCCCCCAGGACAGGAGUCUGGAUAAAUCCUCUGACAGACAUAAGAACAGGGAGACAUCAAAAACUCUCAAGAAGUUAAUCCAGGAGGACAGAUCUAGACUAGGAGACUCGCAUAAAAGAAGGAGAAGUGCUGGAGAUGAUCUGCGACACCGGUCUUAUUCUCCAGAACAAGAAUUCAGAGGAAGGAGCCACCCUCGCCGCCACCGUUCGACUGAGUUUGACUCCAGCAGCAGCAGCAGUGGCAGCAGCAGUAGCGGAAGCUCAAGUGACAGUAGUUCUUCCUCUGACAGCGAAGAUUCAUCCAUUCCAAGGGAUCGCAGACACCAGCGGAGAGUCAAGGACAGUCAUAGCAAGGAAGAAAUGGAAAAGGACACAGACAAGUACAUAAACCCGGAGUCUUCAAGAGAAAUCUAUCAGGCAGAGCUGGAUCGUAGGUCAGCAGCAGCAGCUAAAGUCCCAUCUCCUAGUGAAGCAUACGCUGUAGACCACACAUCCUCCUUUUUGUUUGGAGCUGACGGAAACUACAGGACUUCUCCUCCAGAGGAGGAGAGGAAGAAGUCUGAGGUGAAGGAACAAGACAGAGAUAAGAUGUGUCGGAAGGAUGAGGGAGCUAAAGAGAAACAUAACAGAGAAUCUUCUAAACACAAAUCAAAAUCCCAUUCCAUAGACAAGAAUAAACAACAGAGCAGAAAAAGAUCUGUUGAGCAGGAGGGAGACAGGAGCAGAAAGGAUCCCAGAAGUUCUCACAGUAGUGACCGAUCAACUUCUAGGUCACAUCAGAAAAAGAGAAGUAGGGAGUCGUUUGAGGAUGUAAGUGACAGAGACAUUAGAUUAGACAGUUCUUUUGAAACAAAACGAGACCAGUUCAGUGAGAGUGGGAGCGGCCGUGUGUCGCGUAAAAGUGAAAGAAAAGAGAACAAAAUUCACGAAUUUCAUAAAAGUCCUGAAUUUGAACGGGACAUUUUUAUUGACAAAGAGGAUAUUGAUAGAAAGGACAGAAGGAAGUCUGGAUCUAAAGAGAAAACCAAAAAAUACAAGGAUGAGGAUGAGUAUUCGACUGAUUCUAAGUCUAAGGUUGCUGGCAAAACCAGUGAAAGGAAACUACCUCCAAGGAAAAGGGACAGAUCAAGGUCUAGUUCAGCUCAUUCCUUUGAGGAUAAGAGGGAGAGAUCUCUGUCUCCUGAAGAACAUAAGAGGCAAUAUCUGCAGAUGAAAUAUGAAAGCUGGAAACAAGCUACAAAUGUUGAAUUAGAAAGGAAGCGUAAACAGGCGGAGUACAACAAGAGGAAGCCACAAGAUGGAGACUCACGAAAGGCCAGUGAAAACAGGAUUACUAUGGAUAAAAACAAGCUUCAGUCUAGAAGUCAAAUAGAUGGUCAUAGGUCAUCUAGUGGUCAGGGGUCAUUAGGGGUCGUACAAAGUGAAGAGAUAAUUAAGUCAAAAUGGGACAGUCCAGGAGAAAAGGAUGCUCGUGUAGGAGGCGACGGACAAAGGAGGAGGAGGUCUCGCUUUGACAUGCAACUGCAGGAUCAGAGUCGGGAAUCUGAGGAAAGGGUUUUCAGUAAAACCAUCAUUUUGGAAGGAAAAAGGAAAGAUGAUAAACAUGCAAGUAAGAAGGAUGAGAGGGAACUAUCUACAGUAGGUUUGGAUGCUGUAGAAGAUAAAGUGAAACUGAAGAAAAUGACUGACAAGGAAAGGGCACAAGUAGGUAGGGACAUGGAGGGGUUAAGGAUUCACAUCAAGAAUGAUCACUUCAGUGAAAGCAAUAAGGUGUCGGAGGAGAACAUCAAACGACACUCGGACAGGGACAGCCUUGAGGGAUCUAUCGCAAGUAGUCGAGGUACUCAUACAAGUACACGACAUCGCAGACCUUCACCAGAGCUCGAAAAAGAUAAAUCUAAACACCGCCAGACACCACCAGACAUCAGGGCUGACUCUAGACAUAAGAGUGAUUAUUCCUCCUCAGAAUCUGAAAGUUCUAAUGGAAGUUAUCAUGAUGAUGUUGACGAGGAGCUGCCAGAUCGAAGUUCUGGGCGCUACAAGAAAAUAGAGAAGAUGUUUAAUAAGAAAGAUAUGGGUAAAUAUAGGGAAGGUGCCAGUGGUUCACGAAAUCGUCACUACUCAGAAGGUAGUGACUACUCCAAGCAAAAACACAAUCUUCCCGAUGUCAUACAGAGUGCCCGGAGAGAGAACAAGCAAGCCAACAAAUAUGUUCCUCGCGGUUUAGGAAGGGGAAGAGCUGGCAGGGGCAGAGGGGGAUACAAAGGUCGAAAUUGGCACCGGGGCGGACGGGGGAGGAACCAAUACAAAGAAAGGGGCGAAUAUAAGGAGUCCUUCAAGGAUAAAAGAAACUACGGUCGUGAUAAACAUUUCAAAGGUAGUAAACGGUCGCGAAGCCCUAGCUCCUCAGACUCCUGGUCAUCUCGUAGCUCUUCAUAUUCGUCUUCGUCAUCUCAAAGUCCCAGUAGGAGUAAAACAUCUCGCUAUUCAGCAUCCUCUAGGAAAGGAUCCUAUAGCAACCAAAGUCAAUCCUGGUCAAGCAAUCGUUCCCCACACUCGUACGUAGACCCUUACGCCAAAGGCAAACCGAAAUUUACAAGUGCUAAGUUUCCAAAGGUCAAACAACCACUCCUUGGGGAGCUUGCAAUGUCUGAACCGAAGGUUCAACCACAACCUGCCCCUCUAACAGUACAGGAAGAACAGAAAAAGAAGGAAGUAUUGUUUCAAUUGGAGAACUUUUUAAGUCAACUUAAAGAGAAGAAGAAGGAGCAGGUUUCUGUUGAUGAGGGUACGGCAAAAACCCCAGAAAAAGUGUGAGAUAUUGUCUGACAAGUUACUAUGAACACAGAAAUUUAAUUUGGAAGAAAAUUGAUUCUGGGGUAUGACUUUGGUAUGUUCCAGAAGUGAUUGUUUUCCGAAUAGCUGUUUUCUGUGAAGGAAAGUCUGAUUGAAAUGCAUCUACCUUGAACAUGUGUCACUCGAAACUUGUUAGCCAGAGUGCCACCCUGAGAAUGUCUGACAUUCUCAGAACUUUUGAACUUGAGUGUCGAAUUUGAGUGUCACGGGUAAGAACAUUUCUCCUGCAGAAAUUAUUGUUCUGAAGACAUGUGUCAGUCUGAGAAUGUGUCAUUGUCUGGCAUUGUUAGAACAAGAAUCACCCUGAGAACAUGCUUCCCUGAGGAUGUGUUAGAUACUGUUGAGAAAUCUGAUAAAAAUGGGGAAGAAGCCCACCUUGACAAUUUGUGAUCCAUUUUGAUACGACCAUGCUCUAUGGUAUGUUUUGUAUAUACCUUGUGUUUAGUCACUACUCAAAGUCGGCUUUGUAAUUAUGAUGGUAUUCACGGGAAACAACCAUUCUCACAAAUGUUGUGGAAUGUUCUGUUUCUGCACGAACAACUUGGCAUCAGUAUAACAAUGUGACACAUGAAUAAAUGAAAGUUAUCUCAAAACUAACUAUCUUCUGUGUAAGCAGUUGAAACUUGUACAAUAUACAUUCACAUUGUUGCAGUGAUGACAGUUCUGUCUAGUAUGAUAGAAGAGCUGAAUGUUUGCUGGAUGACAGUUAUGUCUAGUAUGAUAAAAGAGUUGAAUGUUUGCUGGAUGCAGGGUUCAUUUGGAAUAUAUUGUUAAAAUCAUUGUUUGAUUUCAUUUUUGACAGCAUGUUAGUCUUAACUUCAAAAAUCAUUGCUUUGAUUUACUUUUUAUUAUACGCCCGUCGAAUGAUGGGACGUAUUAUGUUUUCACGCGGGCAUGCUUACACAUUAGUUUCCGCUCAAUAACUUGAGUAAUUUUGAAUGGAUUCAUUUCAAACUUGGUAGGAAGGUUCAUUGCCAUAAACUCUUGGACAGGUUCGAUAACCAAAAUUAUUUGCCAGUUAUUUACGGAAUUAUGGCCCUUUGAGGAAUUGCCGGAACAGUUUUCGCUUAUGGCCCUUUAUAGAAUUAACGUGACAGUUUUCGCUCAAUAACUUCAGUAAUUUUGAAUAGAUUCAUUUCAAACUUAAUAGGAAGGUUCAUUUCUAUGAAAGCUUGCACUAUUUUGAUAAACAUUAUCCGCCUGUUAUAAAGGGAGUUAUGGCCCUUUAUAUAAUUGAUGUAAUGCUUUCUGCUCAAUAACUUGAGAGGUUUUGAAUGUAUUCAUCUCAAACUUCAGCCAUAAUUUACGGACUUACGGCCUUUUGUACAGCUGUCGGAACACAAUUUUUGCGCAAUACCUUUAUGGGCUUAUGGCCCUUUGUUGCAAUACUCAUUCGACAUCUGACGGGCAUAUCAUGUACCGCUUCAUGGAACUCUUGUUGUGACUUGUUAUAUGUAUUUCACAUUGGUUUAUUCCUUAUUGAUUGAACGUGUUAUACAUUGUAUUUGAAUACAAAUUUCAGUUAUGCUUGUUCACAAGUUAGAUUUAAUUUGAAAACAGAUGUAUAUCUAUAUAGAUGACAAGGUAAUAACAGCCAUUUCAAAAUGUCUUGCCAGAACUUCAUAUUCAUCAAACUUUAAUAAUUAAGAGAUUCAAUUUUGCCAGUAAAACAGCUGGCCCUUAUUAUCAAGUUGAUGACGUUACAUUGAAGGUGCUCUUUAAGUUCGUAAUUACCAGAGGAUAGACACAUAAACUGUUUGCAAAGGGCUUAUUAACUUUCUUUGGGAUGGUUAGUACAUAUACCACCUGAUAUGUAAAAUAUAUUUUGACAAUCAUAAAUGUUAUAAAAGAUAUUAAUAAGGUGUAUUUUACUCAAUGCCUGGCAAAAAUAUAGAAUAAAUAUAAAUAUUAGAAAAAAAUUCUGGGGAUAACACUGCCUAAGAUGACAGUGACUUCAGAAAAAUAAAUCUGGAAUCUGCUGAAGUCAAACAAUAAUUGAAUAAUGCUAUAAUUUAUUAGUGAGUGAGGUUUGUUCCAUAUUUUCUUUAAUUUACAGAUUUAAUUUACUCUAACCCAAAAUCUGUAUUUCAAAAAAUCGGAUUAUAUAAUAUGACCUUUUGAUUACACACGUUUUGAAAUCUUUUCCCCCUGAGCAAAUUCAUGAUGUACCAAUGGUAUGUAGAGUAAAGCACACAACCUGAAUGUAUUGGAGUUUUAGGUGUGCAAGUCUGUUCUUUAUCUUGUUCAUGUUUUUGCAUGAAGAUAUAUAAGGUGACUGCAUCAAUACAAAUCUACAGUAUGUUUUAUCAGUCUAGAUAAAUGUGUGGAAUUUGGCCAUUUGUCUGAAAGAAAGAAGAAAGAAAAAAGGAGGAAAUAGUAGAGUAGUCACUUUCUUUGGCAUAAUUUCUUAUAUAGCAGACACUUGAAUUAACAAAUUUAAGCUUUCAUAUUUAACGCACCAAGGACAUUUUCAUUGAAUUUACAGGGAAAUUGACCUGAUACAGAGAUUAUUACUUUGCUGUCAUAAUUUGUUCUAUGAUCAGCUUCUUGUUAUGAGGUACAUGUAUGUAAGUUUGUACGAAUAUAUGCAGCUUCUGUGUUGGAGUAUGUAACCCAGGUUAUCAGCUGAUUACUCAUCAAAUAGAGAGGCGUUAUCAGUUUGCCAUAACAAUUGUAUUAUGAAUCAAUGCAAACUGGUAAUAUUUUUGUUAUAGCAUUUAUUAAUUUUCACAGAAAUCAGGUUGUGGUCUCAAUAAAGACCACCAUAGCUGCUGAGUACACAACUAUGAUAAGUUCUAUUUUCAUAAGAAAUACAAAUGAAACCAAAUUUAGAUUUGAACAUAACGCCACAACAUGAUACUGAAAUGAUAUUUUCUGUCAAUCUUCAUGAAGUAUUUAAAUUCACGAAUUUUGUCUUGUCAUAUGUAUUGUCUCUAUUUAAGUAGAACAUUUGAAAAAGCAAAAUGCUAUUUCUGCUCCUGACCUAUUCUCUUCUGUUUAGUGGUAAAGCUGAUCACAACUGAGACCAUAGCCCAGGUUAUAAUACCCACCAGCACAAAAAAAAUCAACUACGGCAAAACCAUGGUCCAGGUGCCUGGAUCAUUGAUCUGUAUACAUGUAAUGGUACUGUAUCAGACGGCUAAAGCCUCGUCCCAAUUGUUACAAAAGCCUGCUUAGCUUAAUGAGAAGUGAACAAACAUUUUUUUUUAAAUAUUGAAUUAAGUGUUCCAGGGUUUAGAUAUAAUGUGGUGCUGUGUGAUAUAGGGAGGUUUUGUAUGUAUAAGACUGUCUGGGUAACUGUGGUACUGUGUGAUAUAGGGAGGUUUUGUAUGUAUAAGACUGUCUGGGUAACUGUGGUACUGUGUGAUAUAGGGAGGUUUUGUAUGUAUAAGACUGUCUGGGUAACUGUGGUACUGUGUGAUAUAGGGAGGUUUUGUAUGUAUAAGACUGUCUGGGUAACUGUGGUACUGUGUGAUAUAGGGAGGUUUUGUAUGUAUAAGACUGUCUGGGUAACUGUGGUACUGUGUGAUAUAGGGAGGUUUUGUAUGUAUAAGACUGUCUGGGUAACUGUGGUACUGUGUGAUAUAGGGAGGUUUUGUAUGUAUAAGACUGUCUGGGUAACUGUGGUACUGUGUGAUAUAGGGAGGUUUUGUAUGUAUAAGACUGUCUGGGUAACUGUGGUACUGUGUGAUAUAGGGAGGUUUUGUAUGUAUAAGACUGUCUGGGUAACUGUGGUACUGUGUGAUAUAGGGAGGUUUUGUAUGUAUAAGACUGUCUGGGUAACUGUGGUACUGUGUGAUAUAGGGAGGUUUUGUAUGUAUAAGACUGUCUGGGUAACUGUGGUACUGUGUGAUAUAGGGAGGUUUUGUAUGUAUAAGACUGUCGGGGUUGUGAAUACUUCGUUAAAUGCAUAGCGGCAGAAUGCUUGAGUUAUCGGAGACAUGACAGUAAAACUCACAGGUAAUGAACACAAUAUAUUUGGGGCUUAUGCAAGUCUAAGAUUAGUAGUACACAACUUAUGUUGGGCUUGUACCAGUCUAUGGAUAGUAGUUAUAUAGAUACAUGUACAUGUAUGUUGUUUAGCACAUGAGAAAUCUGGGGCAUGUGCAAGUCUGAUACAGUUGGUACUACUUCUACACUAUAUAGCUAGAAGCACAAGAUCAACGAACAUCUGUGUCUGACCCUGUGGUAACACUAAUUCUAUGAGUUCUGUGAGAUCAGAGACGUAUAUAUUACAUGUAAUAUAUAUAUAUACAUCUCUGGUGAGAUGUACAGAACUUUGUUCCAGUAUUGAGACCAUAUUUUAUAAGUGAAAUGUUAAUCAUUGGUAUUAAAAAAUAAU